rnacentral:rRNA from 1 species
GGAAUCGAUUGAGUUUGAUCCUGGCUCAGAGCGAACGCUGGCGGCAGGCUUAACACAUGCAAGUCGAGCGGGCCCUUCGGGGUCAGCGGCAGACGGGUGAGUAACACGUGGGAACGCGCCCUUCGGUUCGGAAUAACUCAGGGAAACUUGAGCUAAUACCGGAUACGCCCUUAUGGGGAAAGGUUUACUGCCGAAGGAUCGGCCCGCGUCUGAUUAGCUUGUUGGUGGGGUAACGGCCUACCAAGGCGACGAUCAGUAGCUGGUCUGAGAGGAUGAUCAGCCACACUGGGACUGAGACACGGCCCAGACUCCUACGGGAGGCAGCAGUGGGGAAUAUUGGACAAUGGGCGCAAGCCUGAUCCAGCCAUGCCGCGUGAGUGAUGAAGGCCUUAGGGUUGUAAAGCUCUUUUGUCCGGGACGAUAAUGACGGUACCGGAAGAAUAAGCCCCGGCUAACUUCGUGCCAGCAGCCGCGGUAAUACGAAGGGGGCUAGCGUUGCUCGGAAUCACUGGGCGUAAAGGGCGCGUAGGCGGCCGAUUAAGUCGGGGGUGAAAGCCUGUGGCUCAACCACAGAAUUGCCUUCGAUACUGGUUGGCUUGAGACCGGAAGAGGACAGCGGAACUGCGAGUGUAGAGGUGAAAUUCGUAGAUAUUCGCAAGAACACCAGUGGCGA